GCAGCCCAGAAUAAAUCCAUAGACUAUAAACCUCUGUUUACUAUCACUCAGCCAAUAUUGUAUCCAUGUUGCCACUGUCCUUUCUAUGCAAUAAUCUACAUCUUCCUUCACAAGUCUGUACUUCAGUGAGGUACAAUAUCAACUGCCUUCCAGAAAUCCAUGUACCACUUGAAAAUAAUUACCUUCAUCAACCCUUUCAGUUAUUUCUUCAAAAAAUUCCAAGUUGGUUAAAUGUGAUUUUUUUUCUGUAGAAAUCAAAGCUGAUACUUCCUAUACAACCUAUCUUUUUCCAUGCGACUACUGAUUUUAUCCUGAAUAACUGAAUAAAGUUUUCCCACUACCAAAUUUGAAGAUGAGAUGAAGACAUCAGUCUCAAGUGAAAAACCAUGAGUGAACAUUACCCUUCAACACAGAGAGGUUUCUAAAUCAUGUACUUCAACCAACAAACACACAAACAGCGACCACUUCGAAACAAGUUGAGAAAUAAAUAUUACUGGGCUCGGAACAGGUCUCCGUGGUGAUAGGAUAGCCUGGAGGAAAGGCGAAGUCUCCGGUACAGUCAGCGCUCGCCAAUUCCCCGUCGAUGCUCGCAGUCCCCCUUUUCUUAGGAAUUAAAGAGGUACGGGUGGAGUUGACCUCGGAGGGGAAAGCACGGAAGAGAAGGCUAGGCUUUGUGCUGAGUAACAGCUGCUGUGCGAGGGGCGGGGAGUGUGUCUAUAUAAGACCGGCACGCACCAUUCGGUUACCCCUUGCCUUGGGUAGCGAGAAGAGGAAACACUUUCGAGACUCUGUAUCAGUUUCUUGCUGCGACAUCAGGACUUUUCCGACACAAAAGUAGCGAGUCUAUUUUUUUUUAUUCUCUGCCGCAGUGAA